GUCUCCAAGGUGAAGAGUCUCUAGUCGAUAGAAUAAUGUAGGUAAGGGAAGUCGGCAAAUUAGAUCCGUAACUUCGGGAUAAGGAUUGGCUCUGAAGAUUGAGAUAGUCGGGCUUGAUUGGGAAACAAUAACAUGGUUUAUGUGCUCGUUCUGGGUAAAUAGAGUUUCUAGCAUUUAUGUUAGUUACUUGUUCCCCGGAUAGUUUAGUUACGUAGCCAAUUGUGGAACUUUCUUGCUAAAAUUUUUAAGAAUACUAUUUGGGUUAAACCAAUUAGUUCUUAUCAAUUAUAACGAUUAUCAAUUAACAAUCAAUUCAGAACUGGCACGGACUUGGGGAAUCCGACUGUCUAAUUAAAACAAAGCAUUGUGAUGGCCCUAGCGGGUGUUGACACAAUGUGAUUUCUGCCCAGUGCUCUGAAUGUCAAAGUGAAGAAAUUCAAGUAAGCGCGGGUCAACGGCGGGAGUAACUAUGACUCUCUUAAGGUAGCCAAAUGCCUCGUCAUCUAAUUAGUUUUUUUUUUUUUUUUUUUUCUUUAGCGUGCGUUUAUUUAUUUAAAAUCUGUCCUAGUGGACAAUAAUUAAAUGGUUUUGCGGGGGAACAUUAGCUUAAGGGAUACUAUUGUACAUGUAUUUGUGGCGGGUUUUAUAUGUGUUGUCUAUUGUUGUGGAAGAUCGAGAGGGUGUCUCCUCAUGAGACGUCUGCUUGUUUGGCUAUUGUCUAACAGGUUGGUGGCGAGGUGGUUAGGGUGGUUUUCGAGCCUUUUCAGGUAUCUCUCGCUGAGCCUGGAGAUUUCAUCAGCGACUUGUGGGAUUCCAAGUUCCCUAUGUAUGGCGACAUUCUC
rnacentral:ncRNA from 1 species